AAGGAUUUAAGUUAAAUAUGAAACUAACAGCCUUCAAAGCUGUCAUUAGAUAAGGUCUAAGCCUUA
rnacentral:tRNA from 1 species